AGGAUGCCCCGCGCGCGUCGCGUCCGGCGCGGGCGUGGAAGCGUCAUUGCGGACGAGUUGAGCCUUGAGGAAAGAUCCCGAGGUUGUGGCCCUGGCCCCAGAGCUCUGGGAAGACAAGUUCAAUCCGUAUCCCAGUAUUUGCAUAGCUGAGGCAGGAGAAUUGCCAGGAGGUUGAGGGCCAGCCUGAGCUACAGAGGCUUCAGCAACAGGAGAUUAUAAUUAAGAUGCUUCCUGAAGACGCUUUGCAAGGAAUCAAGCCUGACUUCGGUUUAACUGCUUCCUAAUAAUUGUGCUCAUUUGUUUUAAUUAAUGCUGGGACCAGUCUUCAGUUUCUUGACAAGUAUGUCAUGAUCUGACCUCUGGUGACCUUCAGGGUCAGGUGUACAAGGGGGCACAUACGUCUGGAGUUCAUUUGCAGUGGCUGGAGGCCCUGGUACGCCCAUUCUCUGUAUGUCUCCCUCUCUGUCGCUCCCAA